rnacentral:lncRNA from 1 species
UUUCGACUGAUAUCUCUGAUAAAAUAGAACAUUACUGAUCAUUAAACGUAAUCACUAAGAUCAACAGUCUUUAUGCUCAAUGUCUAAUAUUUACUCCGAAUGUUGCAGCAAGGUGACAGGGCGCGGGGCUCUGCAAAAUCCUGGCAAGGUAGUAAUGAUAAUUCCCCCCUGAAGCACAUUACCUGAGCUACGUGUGUAAUUCACCGGACAUGCCACUUUUAUGUUUGCCAUUGCAAAUACCAUGGGCGUCGUACGAUGCGCUCGACUUGCGUGACUGGAAUGCCGCUUCCUGUACGUGGAGUUUUAACUGCUUGGGUCUGAACGAGCAAUGCGGACCUGCUAUCACAAAAUCAAGGAAGAAAAGUGCUCAGAUGAAUCAGCUGCAUCAGGACUGGAAGUUCUCCUUUCUUGAGAGUCAUUUCCUUGUCUCUCGGUAGUCCUAUCCUCGUCGCCAAUGCGCUCGAAUGUUGUGGCUGGGAUGCUGCUUCUACUUCGAGCAGCGCUGGCUGCUUGUUGCUGUAUUUAUAUUCUGAAGACCUGUCAUUACUAUAGGAACACACCAAGAGCUCCUGUAUUCGCUGCAUCAUGAAGCUCCACUCUCUUUAUGGCCACAUUGCUCGUGUCCAUCGGGAGUCACUGGGGGCGUGGGUGCACUCGAAUUGUGUGGUUGAGAUGGCGCUCCUGCUUACGUGAGGUAUCAUCUGACGGUUACUGGCGGCCUACUAAUUUGGCGCAUCUGCGCGUAAUGGUCGACGCUUCAUGCGAUGGCGUGGAAAGAUCACGAGUUUUCGUGAAGCAACAAACUGGAGUCUGGAUGGAACCAAAAAAAUCCAAAUCUCAGUCCGCGUGUCGUGCGUCGAAUCGUCAUCAUUACCGGAACAUCAUUCAGGAAUUGAACGAGGAGUACCCUCCCCUGGGCUACAGUUGCCGCUUCUCGUAACGGAGAACUCGCCAUGUACAUGCCUGCCUGCAACCAAGUUUUUCUCGUCUGAGGAUACAGAUCGCUCGAGGAAUGAUACUGCGGGCCACAUUGUGAUCUGAAAUAUUAAGGCAUGGGCAAGUUAGGCGGGCUGGACAAUCAACCUCCUUGCCGACCUUUCGGCGGCCCGAACGCGGCGUGCACCAACACUUUGUUCGUGGUGUCUGAAUCCUGCAAAGGUUUAGAAUAAAUUGGUGUAUUUUU